CUUCUGCGUCUCAUUCCCCUCGUUACUUCCCAGUGUAUUUAAACCCUGUGUUUCUCUGAGUCAGUGUCGCGUCGUCCCUCAUGCUGUGUGGAUCUCCUGGUGUCUCCCUGUAAGUUUAGUGUGUUAUUCCCCAGUUUAGUUUACUUUGUAUGCUUUCCCAGCCUGUGAAUAAAGCUGUGGUUUUGAGUUCAUCCCUUGUGUCUACGAGCCUGCAUUUUGGGUCCAAUUCCUGCCUGCCACACAGCGUUUCAUGACAGAUUCACCCUGAACCCUACACAGUGCUCGUGUCCUUGACGUGAAUCGUGACAACUUCAACUCCAAAUCUGUACAGUGGCUUCGCUUCCGUCACAAACUCCGUUCCCAACACCUGAUGAGAAAACAUACAUUAGUUGAUCUAGCAAGCUAUGCAAGUUUUCACUAGCAAACCGUGGCUGUACUGAUGAGUGAACGAUCCAGCAGUUCUGCAAAGAUCUAGUUAAGUAGAGAGGCUGCUGACGAAUGCUUUCAGCUACAGCUGGUGAUGGCUGAUGAGCAGCAGGUGUGACUGGCUACAGUGCAGGAACUCUCCUGAACUCGCCUGAUGACGCUUGCAAUUACAAAGUCACGAGGUGACAGCUGUUAGCCCCUGUGAGAUGUAUGUUGCCCUGGAUCUGAUGCCAGUAGCUAUGAUUCUUUUUUAAUACCAGGGAACCACUUGCCUCCAGCUCUAGGAAAAAGCCCUUGCUUUCUGCUGUCUGCAAGAUAGUUGUAUUUCUGGCUGACCAUGCAUUUCACCUCAAUGAUGCUCAAGUAGGCCACUGUUGGAUAAAAACAGUCCUCUCUCCUUGAUAACUGCACCAGUGCAGUCAGUGUACAGCAGCUUGGCCUUUGACUCAUGAAGGAUCCCCCAGUCACUCUCCUUUGGGGAUGAAAAUAUCACUUAGCCUUCUGGACCCCAUCCCAGUAAAAUGCCCAAGUUUUGAUAGACAUGCCAGUGCUCAGUCUCUUAAAGCCAGACUUUAAUGACAAUGUAGAUUUCACCAGCUGGCUAUCAGGUCAGCCGAACAAUGGAUACUCCAACCAGUUUUGUGUUUUUAUGACCAGCAAUGGUCUUUGGAAUGACUACAGCUGUUCAGCCAAAUUUCUUGCAGUUUGCUUUGAUGAAAAGGGUCCUCCCAUGUAUCAUAUAGUGAAACCUCAGAUGACUUGGGAUGAGGCUAGGAACUACUGCAGGAGCUCCUUCACAGAUCUCGCAAGUGUCAGAAACAUAUCAGAACACAAUGAAAUCCUCUCACUGCUGUCAGCAAACACCUGGUUCGGUCUCUACAGACAUCCCUGGUCUCGCUGGUCUGACCUGACCCCCACCAACUUCACUAACUGGAAUUACGGCCAGCCUGACAACAGCGGCAGCACCAUUUCAUCAUGUGCUCUUGUCAGCCCAGCUUCAGGAACAUGGUUCGAAGCUAACUGUGGUGAAACACACUAUUUCAUCUGUCAAGACUUUCGUAGCAGAAGAAAAAGGUUGAAUUUAAAGUUCCAGUCUGAGGCUGACCUGACUGAUCCCAGCACUCAGCAGCAGCUCUUAGAGCAGCUUAAUGAGAAGCUGGAGACAGAUGGAUUAUCAGAGUUUAAACUGCGCUGGACUCAGGCUGACGGGCAGACCUUCCACAAGGAGCCAAAGAAAGAAACACAAGACUGAGCUGGUUAAGAGAGGACAUCGUGGUCAACUGAGUUAACAUCUCACAACUGAAAUGAAAAUGACUGACCUGCUACUGAAACCAUUUUCACCUUUAUUUUCACCAUUUUACGCAUUGAAAUCAAACGUGCAUUUCAUUUUAAUGUAUUUGUACUGUACACACUAACAUCCAAUAGUAGUAUAUGUUAGUGUUCACAUGUUAGCUGUGUCCCAAUUCCUUGGCCGCAUCCUUCGGAGGCUGCAUUUGAAGGCCGAUUACAUCACAGCCAGGCGACGAAGGCAGUCCCAAUUAGAAGCCUGCUUCAUGACCAAUGCGUCCUUCAUUUGAAGGAUGGGUCGGGUGUAUCCUUUGUGGCCCAACCUAUCCCAGAAUUCAUAGUGUGGCUCAGCCAAUUCCCAUUUCCAUCAAUGGCGGCAGCUACUUAGAUUUAAUAUUACUCUUUC